rnacentral:rRNA from 1 species
CAUAGCCACGGUAAUACAGAGGGUGCGAGCGUUAAUCGGAUUUACUGGGCGUAAAGCGUGUGUAGGCGGCUUUUUAAGUCGGAUGUGAAAUCCCUGAGCUUAACUUAGGAAUUGCAUUCGAUACUGGGAAGCUAGAGUAUGGGAGAGGAUGGUAGAAUUCCAGGUGUAGCGGUGAAAUGCGUAGAGAUCUGGAGGAAUACCGAUGGCGAAGGCAGCCAUCUGGCCUAAUACUGACGCUGAGGUACGAAAGCAUGGGGAGCAAACAGGAUUAGAUACCCCUGUAGUCCCUGUCUCUUAUACA